CCGUUCGGGGGUACACGAGUGGCGAACGGGUGAGUAACACGUGGGUAAUCUGCCCUGCACUUCGGGAUAAGCCUGGGAAACCGGGUCUAAUACCGGAUAUGAACUCCUGCCGCAUGGUGGGGGUUGGAAAGUUUUUCGGUGCAGGAUGAGCCCGCGGCCUAUCAGCUUGUUGGUGGGGUAAUGGCCUACCAAGGCGACGACGGGUAGCCGGCCUGAGAGGGUGAUCGGCCACACUGGGACUGAGACACGGCCCAGACUCCUACGGGAGGCAGCAGUGGGGAAUAUUGCACAAUGGGCGAAAGCCUGAUGCAGCGACGCCGCGUGGGGGAUGACGGUCUUCGGAUUGUAAACCCCUUUCAGUAGGGACGAAGCGCAAGUGACGGUACCUGCAGAAGAAGCACCGGCUAACUACGUGCCAGCAGCCGCGGUAAUACGUAGGGUGCGAGCGUUGUCCGGAAUUACUGGGCGUAAAGAGCUCGUAGGCGGUUUGUCACGUCGUCUGUGAAAUCCCUCGGCUUAACCGGGGGCGUGCAGGCGAUACGGGCAGACUUGAGUACUACAGGGGAGACUGGAAUUCCUGGUGUAGCGGUGAAAUGCGCAGAUAUCAGGAGGAACACCGGUGGCGAA
rnacentral:rRNA from 1 species